CGUGAUUUUUGUCGACUAAUUAUCAGUUCUAUGAGCGCAGACCCUUUCAGGAUGUAAAUAGGUAACCUUGAAGAACAAGCGUAAUUUUUUAUCUCAGUCCUUUCCAAACUGUUUGCUAACGUUUUAAGCCGCGCGAUAACGGGAAAGCUGAUCAAUCAAUCGGUUCACUCUUUUUACAAAUUUCCCCGGCGAUCGAACUCGCUAGUUAACUGAUAUCUCUGCGAACACCAUAAACUCGAUUUAUCAGGCGAAAAUAUGUCUCUUCUAAACGCUACAACUUAUUGUUCCGAAGAUAGGCGCCGAUAAGUCUACUGCUUUUUUAUUUCUUCCAUUUUAUAUUUUCAUUAUAUGCAAGUUUCUAAUUGGCCUGAGUAACUGGCUGGAGGUGGUUCGACAGACGUUGAAGAGGGGAUUUGCGGCGUUAUAAAUUAUUUUGCGAACCUUGCAAGGUAGGUUUCCUCAUUUUUCUGCCUAUGGUAACCCGCUGUCGACGAAAUAUUUGCAACGCUUCUUGCACUACACGCUGCGUUCAACGAGUCUCAGCAACUUUCUAAGUACAAUGAGAAAUUGGUGCAGCGAUAUGCCAUUUUGGACGAGUAGUUUCUUCAUUUUUAUAAUUCUGUCGGCAACGACGUUAACGUUAUCGAAAUGCGAGACGAUGGACGAGCCAAAUAUAUCGGCGUCUCCGGGAAUUAAGAUGCGAUCGGACAAGGAAGUCAACUUUAGGUAUAUAAUCAAUCCGCCUCUAUUCAAAUGUCCCAAACAUCAGAAAAGGGAUCACUUGGGAAAGUGCAGAGACAUCCUUUGGAGUUCUUAAAAACGGCUUCCAACUACAAAAAUCGUGGAUCUACUUGCGAUAAUUUUCACCUUACGAGUAUUCUCCUCUCUCUUACGUUUGUAGCUACGACGAAAUAAAUCAUUUUGA